GGGUUGUGAGGUUAAGCGACUAAGCGUACACGGUGGAUGCCCUGGCAGUCAGAGGCGAUGAAGGACGUGCUAAUCUGCGAUAAGCGCCGGUAAGGUGAUAUGAACCGUUAUAACCGGCGAUUUCCGAAUGGGGAAACCCAGUGUGACUCGUCACACUAUCAUUAACUGAAUCCAUAGGUUAAUGAGGCGAACCGGGGGAACUGAAACAUCUAAGUACCCCGAGGAAAAGAAAUCAACCGAGAUUCCCCCAGUAGCGGCGAGCGAACGGGGAGGAGCCCAGAGCCUGAAUCAGCAUGUGUGUUAGUGGAAGCGUCUGGAAAGGCGCGCGAUACAGGGUGACAGCCCCGUACACAAAAGCGCAUGUGCUGUGAGCUCGAUGAGUAGGGCGGGACACGUGGUAUCCUGUCUGAAUAUGGGGGGACCAUCCUCCAAGGCUAAAUACUCCUGACUGACCGAUAGUGAACCAGUACCGUGAGGGAAAGGCGAAAAGAACCCCGGCGAGGGGAGUGAAAAAGAACCUGAAACCGUGUACGUACAAGCAGUGGGAGCACAGGUUUACCUGUGUGACUGCGUACCUUUUGUAUAAUGGGUCAGCGACUUAUAUUCUGUAGCAAGGUUAACCGAAUAGGGGAGCCGGAGGGAAACCGAGUCUUAACCGGGCGUUAAGUUGCAGGGUAUAGACCCGAAACCCGGUGAUCUAGCCAUGGGCAGGUUGAAGGUUGGGUAACACUAACUGGAGGACCGAACCGACUAAUGUUGAAAAAUUAGCGGAUGACCUGUGGCUGGGGGUGAAAGGCCAAUCAAACCGGGAGAUAGCUGGUUCUCCCCGAAAGCUAUUUAGGUAGCGCCUCGUGAAUUCAUCUCCGGGGGUAGAGCACUGUUUCGGCUAGGGGGCCAUCCCGGCUUACCAACCCGAUGCAAACUGCGAAUACCGGAGAAUGUUAUCACGGGAGACACACGGCGGGUGCUAACGUCCGUCGUGAAGAGGGAAACAACCCAGACCGCCAGCUAAGGUCCCAAAGUCAUGGUUAAGUGGGAAACGAUGUGGGAAGGCCCAGACAGCCAGGAUGUUGGCUUAGAAGCAGCCAUCAUUUAAAGAAAGCGUAAUAGCUCACUGGUCGAGUCGGCCUGCGCGGAAGAUGUAACGGGGCUAAACCAUGCACCGAAGCUGCGGCAGCGAACGUAUCACUUAAAGCGAUUCAGCGGGUUACGAUUGACGGAGCGAAGCGACGUCAAAGCGUAUACAAAGUCGAGUCGGUUUAAGGAUACGUUCGUUGGGUAGGGGAGCGUUCUGUAAGCCUGUGAAGGUGUGUCGUGAGGCAUGCUGGAGGUAUCAGAAGUGCGAAUGCUGACAUAAGUAACGAUAAAGCGGGUGAAAAGCCCGCUCGCCGGAAGACCAAGGGUUCCUGUCCAACGUUAAUCGGGGCAGGGUGAGUCGACCCCUAAGGCGAGGCCGAAAGGCGUAGUCGAUGGGAAACGGGUUAAUAUUCCCGUACUUGGUGUUACUGCGAAGGGGGGACGGAGAAGGCUAUGUUGGCCGGGCGACGGUUGUCCCGGUUUAAGCGUGUAGGUGUGUGUUCCAGGUAAAUCCGGUUCACUUUAACACUGAGGCGUGAUGACGAGGCACUACGGUGCUGAAGCAACAAAUGCCCUGCUUCCAGGAAAAGCCUCUAAGCAUCAGGUAACAUCAAAUCGUACCCCAAACCGACACAGGUGGUCAGGUAGAGAAUACCAAGGCGCUUGAGAGAACUCGGGUGAAGGAACUAGGCAAAAUGGUGCCGUAACUUCGGGAGAAGGCACGCUGACAUGUAGGUGAAGUGAUUUACUCAUGGAGCUGAAGUCAGUCGAAGAUACCAGCUGGCUGCAACUGUUUAUUAAAAACACAGCACUGUGCAAACACGAAAGUGGACGUAUACGGUGUGACGCCUGCCCGGUGCCGGAAGGUUAAUUGAUGGGGUCAGCGCAAGCGAAGCUCCUGAUCGAAGCCCCGGUAAACGGCGGCCGUAACUAUAACGGUCCUAAGGUAGCGAAAUUCCUUGUCGGGUAAGUUCCGACCUGCACGAAUGGCGUAAUGAUGGCCAGGCUGUCUCCACCCGAGACUCAGUGAAAUUGAACUCGCUGUGAAGAUGCAGUGUACCCGCGGCAAGACGGAAAGACCCCGUGAACCUUUACUAUAGCUUGACACUGAACAUUGAGCCUUGAUGUGUAGGAUAGGUGGGAGGCUUUGAAGCGUGGACGCCAGUCUGCGUGGAGCCGACCUUGAAAUACCACCCUUUAAUGUUUGAUGUUCUAACGUGGAUCCGUAAUCCGGGUUGCGGACAGUGUCUGGUGGGUAGUUUGACUGGGGCGGUCUCCUCCUAAAGAGUAACGGAGGAGCACGAAGGUUGGCUAAUCCUGGUCGGACAUCAGGAGGUUAGUGCAAUGGCAUAAGCCAGCUUGACUGCGAGCGUGACGGCGCGAGCAGGUGCGAAAGCAGGUCAUAGUGAUCCGGUGGUUCUGAAUGGAAGGGCCAUCGCUCAACGGAUAAAAGGUACUCCGGGGAUAACAGGCUGAUACCGCCCAAGAGUUCAUAUCGACGGCGGUGUUUGGCACCUCGAUGUCGGCUCAUCACAUCCUGGGGCUGAAGUAGGUCCCAAGGGUAUGGCUGUUCGCCAUUUAAAGUGGUACGCGAGCUGGGUUUAGAACGUCGUGAGACAGUUCGGUCCCUAUCUGCCGUGGGCGCUGGAGAACUGAGGGGGGCUGCUCCUAGUACGAGAGGACCGGAGUGGACGCAUCACUGGUGUUCGGGUUGUCAUGCCAAUGGCACUGCCCGGUAGCUAAAUGCGGAAGAGAUAAGUGCUGAAAGCAUCUAAGCACGAAACUUGCCCCGAGAUGAGUUCUCCCUGAGACUUAGAGUCUCCUGAAGGAACGUUGAAGACGACGACGUUGAUAGGCCGGGUGUGUAAGCGCAGCGAUGCGUUGAGCUAACCGGUACUAAUGAACCGUGAGGCUUAACCUUACAACGCCGAAG
rnacentral:rRNA from 1 species